UAACGAAUCUACAUUCGGACUAGUAAUCGUUGUUGUACAAUAGAGAUUAUAUUUACUGGUAUAAAUAUUGAUUUUUACAAAGUUUGUCAAAUAACCGUGGUGAUUAGACACUCGAGAUAUUAAAGACAAUGUUCUUAGGUUCAGUAACGAAUCCACGGUCAAUGGGGUAACUCUUUGUUAAACGUAGAAUAUAUUUUGAAGCACAAAGUAACGUUUGCUGUGACGCUCGGUAUAAUACUGCACGUAAAGACGAUGUGAAAACUCUCCAAGGUGAUCGCAAAAAUAAAAGACUGAUGAAAAUUUUCCUCUCCUUACGAUCGCGUGUCGUUUGUUGUAUAUUGGCCGGGGAUACCAACAAAAUUCCAACAGCCGUUGCUAGGCAGCCCCGCG
rnacentral:misc_RNA from 1 species